UCACCCCUCAAGCCCCGUGCUUGGUGUUGGACGGCCGGUCGAGCGAUCGACCCCUCCUAAAGACAAUGACGGCGACCUGUGGUUCCCCCGGUACACUGAGCUUUUAACUGAGCACGUAUCGGACAAGGGCACCCGGGACCCGGUCCUCUCCUUUAACUAGGAAACUUCUAA
rnacentral:misc_RNA from 1 species